UCAUCAUCAGUCUUCUUAAUAUCUCUCGGUCAUUGAUCCAUCGCCUCACUGUAUCGCUUUUGUCACUGAAUCAGUAACAAAAGACGGAAUCAUUGAUACCCAUUCUGGAGACUUCAUUUGCUGCAGGGUAGCACAUGGAGUGUUGUUCUUUUGAUCACCAAUUUUGUAAAUUUGUGCAAAGUAACAAAGGACGGAAUCAUUGAUACUAAUUUUGCCUUUGCUACAUUUCCGUCUAUUUUGGCAUGCGAACCAAGGAAAAAUUGCACAAUUGUUUUAGAGUGUUUUGAAGUGGAGUGCCAUAUGAUAAACGGAAUCCGAACAAA
rnacentral:lncRNA from 1 species